rnacentral:rRNA from 1 species
AACGUAGGACACAAGCGUUAUCCGGAGUUACUGGGCGUAAAGGGCGUGUAGGCGGAGAUGUAAGUCUAUUCUGAAAGCUCCUGGCUAAACUGGGAGAGGCGAAUGGAGACUGCAUAUCUAGAGUGAGGAAGAGGAAAGUGGAAUUCCGCGUGUAGUGGUGAAAUGCGUAGAUAUUGGGAAGAACACCAGUGGCGAAAGCGGACUUCUGGGUUGUUACUGACGCUGAGGUACGAAAGCGUGGGGAGCAAACGGG